CAGUCAUGUGAAGGCCCAGAAGAGAAGAAUGGUAUUUUGUGAAGAUAAUGUUUGCCGGGAUGGAAGAGAUGCCACUGAUUAUACUUAAUAGAUUUUGGAUCUGGUAUCCUUUCAGAGUGUUCUUCUUUGUUCUAAUAGUGUCUGCAGAAGAUACUGUGUUAUCUAUGUAGAUGAACUUAUCACCUUUAAGGAACAAAGUUUGUCUUUUCUCUUUCAAUCUUUUCCCUUUUAUUUUUUUCAUCUCUUACUUAUGUAUCUAGGAAUUUAUACUCUGUUAAAUACCAUGGUGAUAAUAGGCAAUUCUAUCUUGUUCUUGAUCUAAUCUUAAAAGCAACAUAUCAUGUUUCUCCAUCAUGUAAGAUGUUUGUAUAGAGACUUCGUGAAGUGAAGGAAAUUACUUUC
rnacentral:lncRNA from 1 species